CCUACGGGUGACAGCAGUGGGGAAUAUUGGACAAUGGGGGGAACCCUGAUCCAGCGACGCCGCGGGAGUGAAGACGUAUUUCGGUAUGUAAAGCUCUAUCAGCAGGGAAGAAAGAAAUGACGGUACCUGACUAAGAAGCCCCGGCUAACUACGUGCCAGCAGCCGCGGUAAUACGUAGGGGGCAAGCGUUAUCCGGAUUUACUGUGUGGAAAGGGAGCGUAGACGGCGCUGCAAGUCUGAAGUGAAAGGCGGGGGCCCAACCCCCGGACUGGUUUGGACACUGUAUGGAUGGAGAGCAGGAGAGGUAAGUGGAAUUCCUAGUGUAGCGGUGAAAGGCGUAGAUAUUAGGAGGAACACCAGUGGCGAAGGCGGCUUACUGGACUGUAACUGACGUUGAGGCUCGAAAGCGUGGGGAGCAAACAGGAUUAGAUACCCCAGUAGUC
rnacentral:rRNA from 1 species